UACGGAGGGUGCGAGCGUUGUCCGGAAUCACGUGGGCGUAAAGGGCGCGUAGGUGGCGGGUCAAGCGUGCGGUGAAAGCUCGGGGCUCAACCCGAGUCGGCCGUGCGAACUGGCCUGCUUGAGCACUGUAGAGGCAGAUGGAAUUCCGGGUGUAGCGGUGAAAUGCGCAGAUAUCAGGAGGAACACCGGUGGCGAAGGCGGGUCUCUGGGCCGUAACUGACGCUGAGGAGCGAAAGCAUGGGGAGCGAACAGG
rnacentral:rRNA from 1 species